AAAUGCUUUAAGCCGGGUUGACAAGCUGUGAUGGGGAGCGAAAUUAAAGUAGCGAAGUUGCCGAUGUCACACUGCCGAGAAAAGCUUCUAGUGAGUAUUUAACUGCCCGUACCGCAAACCGACACAGGUAGUCGAGGAGAGAAUCCUAAGGUGAGCGAGUGAACUCUCGUUAAGGAACUCGGCAAAAUGACCCCGUAACUUCGGGAGAAGGGGUGCUGGUCGCAAGACCAGCCGCAGUGAAAAGGCCCAGGCGACUGUUUAUCAAAAACACAGGUUUCUGCAAAAUCGUAAGAUGAAGUAUAGGGGCUGACGCCUGCCCGGUGCUGGAAGGUUAAAAGGAAGAGUUAGCUUCGGCGAAGCCCUGAAUUGAAGCCCCAGUAAACGGCGGCCGUAACUAUAACGGUCCUAAGGUAGCGAAAUUCCUUGUCGGGUAAGUUCCGACCCGCACGAAAGGCGUAACGAUCUGGGCACUGUCUCAACGAGAGACUCGGUGAAAUUGAAUUGCCUGUGAAGAUGCAGGCUACCCGCGACAGGACGGAAAGACCCCAUGGAGCUUUACUGUAGCUUGAUAUUGAGUGUUUGUACUACUUGUACAGGAUAGGUAGGAGCCGUAGAAACCGGGACGCUAGUUUCGGUGGAGGCAUUGGUGGGAUACUACCCUUGUAUUAUGACCACUCUAACCCGCACCACUGAUCGUGGUGGGAGACAGUGUCAGGUGGGCAGUUUGACUGGGGCGGUCGCCUCCCAAAAGGUAACGGAGGCGCCCAAAGGUUCGCUCAGAAUGGUUGGAAAUCAUUCGCAGAGUGUAAAGGCACAAGCGAGCUUGACUGCGAGACAGACAGGUCGAGCAGGGACGAAAGUCGGGCUUAGUGAUCCGGUGGUUCCGCAUGGAAGGGCCAUCGCUCAACGGAUAAAAGCUACCCUGGGGAUAACAGGCUUAUCUCCCCCAAGAGUCCACAUCGACGGGGAGGUUUGGCACCUCGAUGUCGGCUCAUCGCAUCCUGGGGCUGUAGUCGGUCCCAAGGGUUGGGCUGUUCGCCCAUUAAAGCGGUACGCGAGCUGGGUUCAGAACGUCGUGAGACAGUUCGGUCCCUAUCCGUCGCGGGCGUAGGAAAUUUGAGAGGACCUGUCCUUAGUACGAGAGGACCGGGAUGGACAUACCGCUGGUGUACCAGUUGUUCCGCCAGGAGCAUCGCUGGGUAGCUAUGUAUGGAUGAGAUAAACGCUGAAAGCAUCUAAGUGUGAAACUCGCCUCAAGAUGAGAUUUCCCAUUCCUUUGGAAGUAAGACCCCACAGAGAUGAUGUGGUAGAUAGGAUGGAAGUGGAAGUGCGGUGACGCAUGGAGCGGACCAUUACUAAUCGGUCGAGGACUUAACCAA
rnacentral:rRNA from 1 species